CCUUAUUUUGUACAAGACAGACUCUGCAACAGAUACUGUUUACAGGGAAGUCGCUUCCAUUACGGCGUUUUCCCACAACAAAGUGGAAGAAACCAACACUAUGGGCUCCAUUGUCACAGGACACCACAAGCCAGACGCUUACUCCUUCAUCGCCUUAGAGUGGCUAUACCCCACUAAAAAUGUGGUUGGCAAGUACAAGUGUGAGGCUAACGGCAUUGACCACAAGGGUCACCCAAUGACCAGCACAGCCAUCACAGUGGUCGUG